AAUCAACGCUGGCGGCGUGCCUCAGACAUGCAAGUCGAACGCGAAAUUUCCCUUCGGGGAGAAAGUAGAGUGGCGCACGGGUGAGUAACACGUAGGUAAUUUGCCUUUGGGUGGGGAAUAACUCAGGGAAACUUGAGCUAAUACCGCAUAAUGCAGCGGCUCGACAUCGAGACAGUUGUUAAAGCGGGGGAUUGGAGCAAUCCGACCUCGCGCCUAAAGAGAAGCCUGCGGCAGAUUAGCUAGUUGGUAAGGUAAUGGCUUACCAAGGCGACGAUCUGUAACCGGCCUGAGAGGGCGGUCGGUCACACUGACACUGACAUACGGGUCAGACUCCUACGGGAGGCAGCAGUCGGGAAUUUUGGGCAAUGGGCGCAAGCCUGACCCAGCAACGCCGCGUGAAGGAUGAAAUUUUCGGAAUGUAAACUUCGCAAGAACAGGAAGAAUAAGUGUGGGACAAUA
rnacentral:rRNA from 1 species